ACAAGCCAGCUGCAUCCCACCAAUCUCUCACUACAAAAUCCCACCUUCCUCGAGUAAUUCCUUUAGAGAUUUUUCUGUUCUACGGCCGCUGGAGCCGGAGCCGGGAUUCCUACGAGGACGAGUUCGAGUAGCAAUGAAAAAGAGGGAACAGCGAUUUUUAUUUGGUGACGCUAGGUGGAAGCGUAGUAAGUGUAAAACGGUGUUGCAAAUUAACCCGUCAAAUCCGGCUCUUAACGUCGGUUAUUGGCGUGAUGGAAUUUCUUAAUCUUAACUACGAUUACAACCGUCGUCGGAGGCCAGUGUUUCAAAUUGGACGACGGUGAUAAACGUCGUCGGACUCCAAUCCUCCGCGUCGCCGGACUCCAAGCCCCGUUUGGACUACCCCUGGCUUCCUCGAACCGUGCCCGGUUUCCCAAACCAUCGACGCCAUCCACCGUCAUCUCCCCGUUCCCAACCAACAUCCCGCUCCUGCUCCUCCCCCUCCUCGUCUCGAAAACCACCCCUCUCCCCACUUUCCGGAACAAUCGAGGCCAUCCAUCGCCCUCUCCUUUUUCCCAACCCAUGGAGGUCAUCCACCACCCCCUCAUCCUCUUAAAAGCGUCGACAUUCACCUCCUCCUCCUCCUCCUCUUCGUCUCCAACCUAGUUUAGAAAGCUCCGGAAGCCGAAGGGAAGCCCGGCCUGGAUCUCUUCCUCUCUUUCCUCGAAAAAUCGGGAUUCGAUCUGUGAAUGAGUGAGAUCCUGUUGUGUGAGUUCUCCGAUUAGUUGCUACGGACUCAGAAUUACUCCGAUCUCUUAUUUUGGACUUAUCAUUGAUGUAUCCAAAACUUCGACUUGCAGAUGAUAAUUUUUGUCAUAUAUCAGUGAUAUGCAUAUGCGCUGGUUAGGAACAUUAUGCCUUGGAAAUCUUUCAAAGGUGUUGAGUUCCAGCAUUCGCAGGCAUCUUCCAGUUGGCCUGAUGAGCCCUAGCAGUCUCAGCAGCCUAAUGAGCCACAGCGUGUGCCUCUUACUGAUGAUCGAGAUGAUGAGGAAAGCUUGGGCCUUAUAGGCUUAUCUUCUGAACUGGUGGCAUUUUUGAAAGACAUUGGAAGAAAUCUUCAUCAAGUGAAUGUCUAUAACACAAUCUUUAUCGAGCUGCUUAAAAUUGAUGAUAGCAUAUUUUGAUUUGAUUGCAUUGUGGUAAGCUUUAGGAUGGAAAAAAAAUGCAAAUACAUUGUAAAGCCUAGAUAAAUGAUGUGACUCUUUUGCAUUAAAUAUUUUCAAACCUCCAAAAUACUGUUUUAAAGCUUCUUUGAGUACAUCAUCUGGCAUCAAAGAAGCUUAUCUUCAUCAAAAAUCAUAUUAGCAUCAAACUCAUAAUAUAAAAAAUAAAAAAUUUUAUAUUUUAUUUUAGCAUCUCUUAUAAAUAUUUUUGUCUCAACAGUCCAAUAUCCAAGUUGUAAAUGUAUCAUGUUAGAAUUUGUCAGUCGAUAUGUCGAUCUCCCGCUGAUAAAAUAGUAUGUGCUGUUUCAUUGUUGGAAUCCCUCAUAUGCAUGAGAUUAAUAUCUUGAGUAUAUAAAAUAAUCAAAAUAUCAAGAAAUCCAUGUGCAGCGGCAAGAUAGAAUGGCGUUAUUCCCUCGGCAUCUGUCAAUAUAUUUGCACAAUUUUUCAACAGUAGUCAAGCAAUCCUGCCGUCCAAAUGAAUUGAUUAAUAUUAAAAAAUAAAUAUUAUUUUAUUAGAUCAUGUGAUGGUCUUAUUUACGUACUUUUUGUUAUCGUUCUGUGCUAAAGAGUAGUGUAAUGCAGUGUGCUUGACUUCAUCAGUAUAGUUAAUAUUUACGUUAAACUUCAGCAAGACAUUGAAAGAAAUCUUCGUCAAGUGAAUGCCUAUGACACAAUCUAUCCAUGUUACUCAAUACAUCGAUAGAAUUUUACAAAACUCUGCUUCUGCAGAUCUUAAAAUUGAUGAUAGUAAAUAACUAUUUUUAUUACAAGUUGCAUUCGAGAGCAGUCAGUUAGUGAACUAGCUUUAUAUUAUUGCUCAUAUAAAUAUAAUUUCUAAAAAUAUAGUUAGGAAUUAAUUUUUUUGUUUUAUUUUUUCAGCUUUUCUAUAUCUUAUUGCUGUACCAAGGGCUACUUAUCGAAUUACUUGCUGAAAUUCCAAGGGCUACUUAUAGAUUUACUUGCUGAAAUUCAGAAGGGUUGGCCUUCAUUUGGGAUAAUGCACAUUCUGCAAGUAGCCCUUAGUACAGUAAUAAGCAAUGAGGUAUAAGAAAGCUGAAAAAAUAAAAUAAAAAAAAUUAGUACCUAACUAUAUUUUUAAAAAUUAUAUUUAUAUUAUAAUAUUAAGCUUCAAAUAAAAAAAAUUAGUUCACUAACUGACUGCUCUCGAAUGCAACUUGUAAUGAAAAUAGUUAUUCGCUAUCAUCAGUUUUAAGAUCUGUAAAAGCAGAGUUUUAUAAGAGUCUAUCGAUGUAUUGAGUAGCAUGGAUAGAUUAUGUCAUAGGCAUUCACUUGAUUAAGAUUUCUUUCAAUGUCUUGCUGAAGUUUAACGUAAAUAUUGACUAUAUUGAUGAAGUCAAGCACAUUGCAUUACACUUCUCUUUAGUCUAUAACGGUAACAAAAAGUACGUAAAUAAAAUCAUCACACGAUCUAAUAAAAUAAUAUUUAUUUUUUAAUAUUAAUCAAUUCAUUUGGAUGGCAGGAUUGUUUCGCUACUGUUGAAAAAUAGUGCAAAUGUAUUGGUAGAUGCCGAGGAGAUAACGUCAUUCCACCUUGCCGCUGUACAUGGAUUUCUUAAUAUUUUGAUUGUUUUAUAUACUCAAGAUAUUGAUCUCGUGCAUAGGAGGGAUUCCAACGAUGAAACAACACUCUUUUAUGCCAUUAGAGGCAUGCACCUAAGCUGAAUGAGCUUUUUAAAGGAUAAAGACUCCAAUUGGAGCACCAAAAACACUAGGUACUAAACUCAAAUAAAUAGUCCACAUUGUGUUUAUCUGUUUUAUCACCUAACAUGCUAUUUUAUCAGCGAGGUCGGCAUAUCAAUUGGAAAAUUCUGACAUGAUACAUUUACAACUUAGAUAUUGGGCUGUUGAGAUAAAAAUAUUUAUAAGGGAUGUUAAGGUAAAGUAUAAAAAUUUUUGAUUUUUUUAUGUUAUGAGUUUGAUGUUAAUAUGGUUUUUGGUGAAGAUAAGUUUCAGGUGAUGUACUUAAAGAAGUUUUAAAAUAGCAUUUUGGAGGUCUGAAAAUAUUUAAUGUAGAAGAGUUACAUCACUUAUCUAGACUUUACAAUGUAUUUGCAUUUUUUUUCCAUCCUGAUGCUUACCACAAUGCAAUCAAAUCAAAAUAUCUGAAAGUUAGGCCUUUGCAAUUGAAGAUCGGACAAGCAUAUCGAAAGCAAAACGGUCCUACCAUUCUGAUGCGAGAGCAGUCCAAAUGAUCAAGAUACAAAAUAUUUUGUAUGUCAACGGGCAGACAUCUCCUACUUUCUAAAUCCAAUCCUGCGAAAGUUUUCAAAUGUCCGUUCUAUUACUCCUAGAAACAGAACAAAGUCUUGUAUCUUGAUGCAGGCAUACAAGUUUCUAAGAAUGACUGGUCUGCUAUCCAAGGGCACCAGCAUAGAUUUCCUUUCAUACGAAGGUGUCACUUUUUCUUGAGGACAAAUCAGAUCCACAUUAUUCUGGAAAAUGGACUUAAAAGGCCCAGAUAAACCUGCUUUGUGUCUACAUGAAGCAGCUCAAAACACAUUAGGGAAACAGAUACCAGAUUUAUUGUACUAAAACCCAGUAAAAUAGUGUCUAAAUCUUGCAAACACCUACCUCAUUUGUUUGAGCUCAUUUCCUGUAUGUAUACAAGUUUGACAGGCACUCGGUAUGUGAAUUGAUUUUGUUAAAAAACUCAUAGACUGAUGAUGAUAUCCACUGUUUUAUCAGCUUUUGGCAGAUAGAUUUGUUCAUACUGCUGCUGUUGUUUACCA